AUUUUUACACUUAAUUAUAUGCCAAAAAUUAAAUAUCUCUAUCUAUUUAUAAGGGUGUGUCAAUGCUAAAAUUAUUGAAAGGGAAAAAGCGAUGACAUUAACAGUGUACCUAAUCCUUUUUGUAUCUUUCGUAUUCUUUUUCAAUCAUCUCCUCAAAAAAAGAAGAAAGUCGUCAUCAAAUCUUCCUCCCGGCAGCUACGGAUGGCCAUUAAUCGGAGAAAGUUUGGAGUUUCUCCGAUUAAACCGAGAGGGAAAGUCGGAGAAAUUUGUUCAGGACAGAAUGGAUAAGUAUGAAUCUGAAGUUUUCAAGACAUCAAUAAUGGGUGCAAAAAUGGUGGUAUUGUGUGGUCCUGCAGCAAACAAGUUUUUGUUUGGAAACCAUAAUAAAUUGGUCACAACUUGGUGGCCAACUUCUGUGAAACAGCUGCUUGGGAAGAGUUUGACUAAUAAUCAUGGGGAUGAAGCUAAACAUUUGAGGAAGAUGUUGUAUUAUUUUGUUAGUCCAGAUGCUUUCUCAAAGCUCUAUAUUAAGACCAUGGAGUUCACUACUCACCACCAUCUUAAGAAUUACUGGCAAGGCAAAAAGGAGGUGAAAGUUUUUCCAACUGUCAAGUUACACACAUUUGAUUUGGCAUGUCGCCUAUUCAUGAACCUUGAAGACUCGAAUCGAAUUUCAAAGCUCUUCAAUCUAUUCAACAUUUUCUUGAAAGGAGUCAUAUACUAUAGCCCUAAACAUUCCUGGAACUAAAUUUUACUAUGCAAAGAGAGCAACAAAGACUAUCCGUGAAGAACUUGUAUUAAUUGUGAAGGAGAGAAGAGAGGCUGUAGAACAGAAAUUAUCAGAUUCUCCUCCACAAGAUCUUUUGUCACAUUUACUUCUAUUUCCGGAUGAGAAUGGUAAAUUCAUGUCCGAACUAGAGGUAGCUGAUAACAUCCUCAUGAUGAUCUUUGCCGGCCAUGAUACCACCACUGUUACUAUAACAUUAGUGAUGAAGUAUCUCGCGGAGUUGCCUCAUGUUUAUGAAAACGUUUUACAAGAACAAAAGGAGGUUGCAUUAUCAAAAGGAGGAAGGGAAUACUUGAAUUGGGAUGACAUACAAAAGAUGACGUAUACAUGGGAUGUAGUGUCUGAAGUUCUCAGGUUAACAUCACCAAUUAUUGGAAGCUGGAAAGAAGUACUAGAGGAUUUUAACUACCAAGGUUAUAGCAUUCCAAAAGGAUGGAAGAUAUAUUGGAAUGUCCCUGCAACACACAUGGAUCCUAAAGUGUUUCCCGAUGCUAAAAACUUUGAUACAUCAAGAUUUGAAGGAGCAGGACCAACACCAUUUUCAUAUAUUCCAUUCGGAGGAGGGCCUAGAAUGUGCUUGGGGAAAGAGUUUGCACGACUGGAGAUUCUUGUUUUUAUCCACAAUGUUAUCAAGGAUUUCAGAUGGAAGUUAUUGAUUCCAAAUGAGAAAAUCGAAUAUGAUCCCAUGCCCACACCAAUUGAAGGACUUCCUAUUCUAUUUCAACCCUCAGAAGAUAUUUCUUGAUCACUUCCCUCCCAUUCUAGUUGCCAGUGAAAGAAAAAACGACACUAGAUAUUAGAAAUGAGCACUCAGUGUCAAUGCGCUUCAAAAGAGCCAUUCAUGUACAAUCCAUAUUGGAUCUGAUCAACUGCCCAUCCUAUCUUUUUUACAUUUUGACCCAAGGAAGAAAAGUUAUGUUCAUAUAUCUAGAAAUAUAUUUCUAUUGAACAGUGACAUGUUAUGUGCUGUCAUUUAUUAUACUUAAAUAUAGUUAUGGAAUUUACGAAACAUCUUUAAUUAU